GCCGGGCUGGCGUAAUGGCUAACGCGUCUGACUUCUAAUCAGAAGAUUGCGAGUUCGAGUCUCGCGUCUGGCU